CCGGGCGUGUAGCCGGCGCGGCGCUUUCUCUCUCUGGCCUCCCGGACGGGGCCCAUUUUGACGUACUUGUCGUCCAGUCAGAAAAGAAGCCGUUCCCAAGCCCACGUGCUUUCCUCAGUGAGACAAAGGAUGCACAAGACAGACAGCACUGUCAGGUCACCGCGCUGCCCAGGAAACAGAAGCACGUCUGAGAAGAUGUCUCCAUCCCUCCACCUGAGUGUUGUGUGGCAGGUGCAGCCAUAGCUGUGGAUCUUCCAGUGAUUCCUUCUUCAGCUGGAACCUGAGCUAUGGAACAGAGACUGGGAGAGUACUGUGCUUGGAGUUGCUCCGCUCCUUGGAAAGACUUGCAGCAAUGCCAGAGUCAAGGCCAGGAAGAGGAAGAGGACUAGAGGAAAAUAGAAAGACUGGCUUGCCUGGAGCUGUUGGAAGCUUGUGAUCAUUGCCUUUCCUAUGACAGAGGCCCAAACUGGCUCCCACUGGGCAUGUUUUUAUGAGACCUUUGGAGUUGCUCCCACCACUCUACUGAAGACCAUUCCCUAAAGCUGAUGGACUAUCUCUCCAACUUUGUAUGACACUCCUAUGGCUCCUAUCUUUUGGCAGUUUAUCCCAAUUGGCCUUUUCCCACUGGGGUUCUCUCAUCUCAGGUAGAUCUUGGGCAGCUUCUUUUCAAGAUAGCUCCAACCCGAGUACUUGCUGGGGCAACAUACAUGUGGCUCGCAGGUGCUCACAUACCUUGCUCUGUCUGUCAUUUAUAGAAGUGCAGCUUGCUCUGUUUGACCCUCUCUCCUUGUGACCAACCAACACCAACUCGCCUCUUGCCCUCGGAGUUCUUUAGUUCCUGCAAGUUCCAAAGAACACAGUUUGGGGUUCUCCCAAGAAUUCACUAAUGCUUUGUAACUGCCCAAAGCUGGCAUCCACCUAGGGAGUAAGAGGCCAGCCUCUAUGUGUGACAAGUAUCAUCAGUCACUAUGCUUUUCUUGAGGCCUAAUUUCUUUGCUUAAGGGAGGGAGAAGAGCAUUGAAGAAAGAAAGGAAGACCCCCAUAGUACUGUCUACUCCAGUAAGGUAUCUCCUGUUGAUGAAUCUUCAACCUUGUUUUGAUAGCACUAAAAACUCAGCUUGGGCACCCAUUGACACCUUGCUUUAGAUCGCUGGGGUACUUCUUACCAGUUUUUUAAAGCUUUGAAACUUUAGCCAAAAUUCUGAGGUGGCAGAAAAUGUCCCCCUUUGCACCUUGUUAUGUCUGUGUCAAAAGCAUAUAUAACUUAUCAAACCUGUGAUGUUGUAGACAUUAUUGUUGAGAGUUACAAUAGAUACAAAAAAUAGGAAGCUUAAAGAAAAAUGAAAUAGAUAAUAGCAUAAGUGGCUCACAGAUAUGGCAAAAUCCAUUAUGGCAAUAUUCUUAAGCCAUCAUGCUAAGCAGGAGAAUAUAAGGCUGAGGCAGCAUAUUCUCCCUCUUUCCAGGUCAACUGUGACAAAAACAAUGCUUAUUCAGGACUAAAGACCAAACUUUUACUCCUUUGUAGCUAAUCUAAAAUGGGACAUUUCCUUUAUCAACUUCAUGGUCAGUCCCUCCAAGGUUUCUGAGUAAAAGUGAGAAGAUGCUAAUUUCUAAGAGAGUACUCUAUUAGGGUGAAAAAUUAUUAUAAAAUACAAAAUAAGUACUAAAUAUAAAUAGGAUGGUCGCAUACAGAAUUAUAAAGACCUCUAUAAAUAAUUGAACUAAAAAUAAAAAUAAUUGAAUUUCUUAACGAUUGAUUUAAAUAGUCUGUAUCUCUUUUCUUGAUUACUUAAGGUAGUAUAAAGCAAUAUAUUGAAAAUAUCAACAAAAGAUUUAAAACCUAGAUUUCUAUGAAGAAGAGGCUUUGUAGGUGAAAGAGCACUGAAUUUAGAAUAAAAAAAUUCCAACUCUGCAAUUUACCUACAGAUAGUAUGAUCUUGGGGAGGUCCCUGGGCCUCCCUGAGCCAUGUCGAUAGAAUCAUACCUCAAACACAUUGAAAAUGUGCAAGCAUUAAGUAAGAUAAUGCAAAUGAAACAGAACAAUCUAAAGUGUCUAAUACAGUGCUUCACCAGUCAAUAGAAGAGAGAUAUUAAUUUUAAAAUUUUUCAUUUAGGUGUAAUAUGCAUAUAAUAAAAUGUACCAAUUUUAAGGUGUGAUUUGAUGUGUUUUGACAAAUAUAUAUAAUCAUAUGUCUGGCACUACAGUGAUGUUAUAGAACAUUUCCAUAACCCCCCAAAUUCUAUUGUGCCCUGUUGACAUCACUUCCCUCCCAUUAAAUCCUUGCUUUAAUCUUUUGUACAAUUUCAUAUAAAUGGGAUCAUGCAGUGUGUAGUUUUUUGUGUCUGGCUUUUUUCACUUGGCAUAAUGCUUUUAAUGUUCAUUCUUAAUGUUGUACAUAUUGGUAGUUCCUUUUUAUUACUGAGUAAUAUUUCACUAUGUGGAUACAUAACAUUUUGUUUGUCUAUUGACCAAUUGGUAGGCAUUGGGCUUAUUUCCAGUUUCUGGAUAUUAUGAAGAAAGUUACUACAAUCAUUUGAGUACAAGUCUUUGUAUGGGUAUGUUUUCAUUUUUAUUGGGUAAAUACCUAAAAAGUGGGAUUGCUGGGUUGUAUAAUAAGUGUAUGUUUAAACUGAUAAGAAAUGGCACAGUGCUUUCUAAAGUGGCUGCACCAUUUUGCAUUUCCACUACUCAUGAAUGAAAUUUCUAGUUGUUCCAUAUCCUCAGCAAUAUUCAGUAUUGUAGGUCUUUGUAAUUUUAGUUAACCUAGUAGCUGUGGAGUGAUAUCUGUUCUUUUUUUUUUUUUAAGAUUUUUAUUUAUUUAUUUUAGAGAGAGAGAGGGCAGCGGGGAGAGGCAGAGGGAGAGGGAGAGUAGACUCUCUCCGAGCUGAGUGCAUAGCCCAAUGGGGCUCAAUCCCACAACCCGGAGGUCAGGACCUGAGCUGAAACCAAGAGUCAUCACCCAACCAACUGCACCACCCAGGCACCCUACGAUAUCUGUUUUAAUUUACAUUUCCUUAAUGAUGAAUGAUGUUCAGCAUCUUUCAUAUGAUGAUUUGUCAUUUAUGUACUUUCUUCAGUGAAGAAUCUGUUUAAACCUUUUGCCAAUUUUUAAAAUGGGUUAUUAUCUUGCUUUUGAGAUCUAAGAGUUCUUUUAUAUGUUCUAGAUAAACACCCCUUAUAGAAAUGUGCUUGCAAAUAUUUUCUCCUGGUC